rnacentral:rRNA from 1 species
GCUUGUCUCAAAGAUUAAGCCAUGCAUGUCUAAGUGUAAAUACGUCUACACUGUGAAACUGCGAAUGGCUCAUUAAAUCAGUUAUCGUUUAUUUGAUGAUCUCUUGUUACAUGGAUAACCGUAGUAAUUCUAGAGCUAAUACAUGCACACAGCCCCGACUCAAGAAGGGGCGCAUUUGUUAGAUACAACCAGCCCUUCGGGUCUUUGGUGAAUCAUAACAACUGAGCGAACCGCAUGCGCGAGCGGCGGUGGUUCAUUCAAGUUUCUGCCCUAUCAGCUUUCGAUGGUAGGGUAUUGGCCUACCAUGGCGCUAACGGGUAACGGAGAAUUAGGGUUCGAUUCCGGAGAGGGAGCCUGAGAGAUGGCUACCACAUCCAAGGAAGGCAGCAGG